CAACUCCCAGAAGCGCUGGCGCCAGGUGGCGCAUGUGCGGUGGACUGUUCUGGCCGGCGCGCAUGACGUCAGACAUGCUAUUUAAAGAUAGGCAGCACACACUCUCAGACAAUGUGGAACGAGCAAUACCAUACACAUCAGGUGCGGCUUUUUCACCUGGACUUGGCGUUCCUUACUGAACCUUGUACCAGCAAUGCUGCAGCAUAAGUGUCUCCCAUUGUUCAAAGUUUUCACAGCAAGUUUGUCUGUAUAACUAGAAAUACCAGUACCAGUGGCACCCCCUAGGUUGUGGAAUGGCCCAAUACGGCCCUGUUGGUGUCUGCUGGUGAAUGAUGUGCAAUUUUGUCUGACCCGGCUGGGUUGGUCAGGAGGAGGCUCUCUUUUUUGGGUGGCGCUUCUUUGCUACAGCAUUCCACUUCAAACAAAUACCAUCCAAGUGUUCCAAAGCUCCCGAUGAAGCGGAUAAGCUCCGCGAAACUAGUUGAGCCAAUCGUGGAACUCUUUACAUGCUAAGGAUUGAACAAGGGUGGACCAAGCGCGAACUGAAGUUCCCUAGUGAUUAAUGACAACACAAAUCACCCUUUAUGGUCCAUUCACCUGGUUCUAUAUAUCCUAUACAUGUUUUAAUAUUUUGUAUUUAUUGAUAUGUCAACAUAUUGUUUUGU